GCCCGGCUAGCUCAGUUGGUAGAACAUGAGACUCUUAAUCUCAGGGUGGUGGGUUCGAGCCCCAUGUUGGGCG
rnacentral:tRNA from 1 species